rnacentral:rRNA from 1 species
UACAGAGGGGGCGAGCGUUGUUCGGAAUUACUGGGCGUAAAGGGCUCGUAGGCGGCCAACUAAGUCGGACGUGAAAUCCCCAGGCUCAACCUGGGAACUGCAUCCGAUACUGGAUGGCUUGAGUUCGGGAGAGGGAUGCGGAAUUCCAGGUGUAGCGGUGAAAUGCGUAGAUAUCUGGAGGAACACCGGUGGCGAAGGCGGCAUCCUGGACCGAUACUGACGCUGAGGAGCGAAAGCCAGGGGAGCAAACGGG